rnacentral:lncRNA from 1 species
GGGCACAAGAUGGACACAGGAUGUUCCCCAAUCAAGGCUGCUCGGUGGGUUUCAGAAAUGGGAACACCCGUCCCUUCAAGCAUCCAUAGCGUGUGAACUGUAGGACUGUAGGGUGAAGGUCAUCCCAGAGCUCAGCAUUGAAACCAGCCGGAAAUUGUUCAGUUGGGGGAACUAGGGGAAAGGGAACAGUGAUGUGAAGGGCAGAGGCAGUGGUGGGAAGCCUGUGUGUGGCCGACGCAUGCUUUUACGCUGUCAUCACGGCCUUGCUUUCUAUAGCAGGGAUCUGAGAAGCAGGCAGGCAGCUGCUCUGCCUGAGACUGUCAGGAGUUGGUGGAUAUGAAUCCAUGUCUGAAGCCCAAGCUCUCGCUACUCUGCUGUCUCCCUGAGGGGUGCAUGAAGGCCCCAGCCCAGUCAGUGACACAGAGGUUGGGAAGACCAGGGCAUGAAGCUUCUGUGCUUGGAGAACAGGAGGGCUUGUGGAGCUGUGGUUGAUGGCAUGUCCAGGAAGCCUGGCCAGGCUGGGGUCUGGCAACAGCCUCACCACGAUGGCAUGGCGGUGGGCCCGGCCUCUACCCGCUGCGCCACAGCUCCUGGCUCCUGGCUCCAGGUCAUCUCUGCCCACAGCCAGCGUCUCUGCAAGCCUGCUCUAGAAGAUCUCUCUGCAGUCUCCCAGGAGGCAGCCCUGCCAGUGUCUCUGGAUCUGGCCUGGUGGGUGUUGCCUCUGCGAGCAGCAUCUCCCCUGCAUCCACCUGAGGGUCACCGUGGCUCCCUUAUAGGGCUGGACUCCUCCCCCUUCUCCCAUUCCCUGGCUGGGCUCCUCUUCCUUGGGACCUUCAUAGCUUGAUGAGAAGACAGUGCCCUCUCGGCCAGACCAGGACAUUAUUUGACAGUAGAGAAACUGGAGUGUAGACAAACACCAUGGAUGCUGUGUGGAAGAGUUGUUCCCAGCUGAAGAUGUCCCUCCUCAGUGAAGCCCUGCCUGAGCGCCUCCGGUCCUUCUCAGCAGCCAGAGGCUUCUCAGCACUUCUGCGUUCCCAUCUGGGUGGGAACUGCAUGGCCUGUUUAAGCACAAGGAGGGGGAGUGUGGGGAAGGGGGAGCAGAGUGAGUGGGGAGGCCAGAAAGGCAGGCACUGGUUCAUGUAGGGUGGUUGAUACAGUUUGGAUGUUUGUCCUCUCCAAAUCUCAUACUGAAAUGUGACCCUCAAUGCUGGAGGUGGGACCUGGUGGGAGGUGCUUGGGUGACAUGGGCCAAUCCCUCAUGAAUGGCCUGGUGCCCUCCCUGUGGUAAUGAAUUCCCAUGAGAUCUGAUUGUUAGAAAGAGCCUAGGUAGCUCCUCUCUCUUGCUCCAUCUGUCACUGUGGGACACCUCUGCUACCCUUCACCUCCCACCAGGAGGGGAAGCUUCCUGAGGCCCUGACCCCAAGCAGAUGCUGCUGCCAUGCCUCCGGUACUGCCUGCAGAACUGUGGACCAAAUAAACCUCUCUUCUUUAUAAACGGCCCAGUCUCCGGCAUUCUUUUAUGGUAACGCAAAACGUAUAAGCACAAUCUUGUGGAGAAACUUCCCUACCACAGCGGCCUUGGCAGUCGGUCCUGCUCCUGAUGAGGUGAUAGAGAACAGCACCUGAGAUGAUUAGAGGAGAGGGCCCUGACAUCCUCUGUGCCCUCUGCCCUAACAUCCUCUGUGCCCUCUGCCCUGGCAUCCUCUGUGCCCUCUGCCCCGACGUCCUCCGAGUCCUCUGCCCCAACGUCCCCCGUGCCCUCUGACCUUAUG